UACAGAGGUCCCAAGCGUUGUUCGGAUUCACUGGGCGUAAAGCGUGCGCAGGCGGUUGUGCAAGACAGAUGUGAAAUCCCCGGGCUUAACCUGGGAACUGCAUUUGUGACUGCACGGCUAGAGUGUGUCAGAGGGGGGUAGAAUUCCACGUGUAGCAGUGAAAUGCGUAGAUAUGUGGAGGAAUACCGAUGGCGAAGGCAGCCCCCUGGGAUAACACUGACGCUCAUGCACGAAAGCGUGGGGAGCAAACAGG
rnacentral:rRNA from 1 species